GACAGAGGCGCCGAGCGUUAGGCGGAAUCACUGGGCUUAAAGCGUGUGUAGGCGGAUCGUUAAGUAUCUUGUGAAAUCCCCCGGCUCAACCGGGGAACUGCUGGGUAUACUGGCGAUCUUGAGCAAUCUAGGGGCAGAUGGAACAAAUGGUGGAGCGGUGAAAUGCGUAGAUAUCAUUUGGAACGCCAAAGGUGAAAACAGUCUGCUGGGGAUUUGCUGACGCUGAGACACGAAAGCCAGGGGAGCGAACGGG
rnacentral:rRNA from 1 species